rnacentral:rRNA from 1 species
UAUACAUGCAGUCGAGCGAAUGRAUUAAGAGCUUGCUCUUAUGAAGUUAGCGGCGGACGGGUGAGUAACACGUGGGUAACCUGCCCAUAAGACUGGGAUAACUCCGGGAAACCGGGGCUAAUACCGGAUAAYAUUUUGAACYGCAUGGUUCGAAAUUGAAAGGCGGCUUCGGCUGUCACUUAUGGAUGGACCCGCGUCGCAUUAGCUAGUUGGUGAGGUAACGGCUCACCAAGGCAACGAUGCGUAGCCGACCUGAGAGGGUGAUCGGCCACACUGGGACUGAGACMCGGCCCAGACUCCUACGGGAGGCAGCAGUAGGGAAUCUUCCGCAAUGGACGAAAGUCUGACGGAGCAACGCCGCGUGAGUGAUGAAGGCUUUCGGGUCGUAAAACUCUGUUGUUAGGGAAGAACAAGUGCUAGUUGAAUAAGCUGGCACCUUGACGGUACCUAACCAGAAAGCCACGGCUAACUACGUGCCAGCAGCCGCGGUAAUACGUAGGUGGCAAGCGUUAUCCGGAAUUAUUGGGCGUAAAGCGCGCGCAGGUGGUUUCUUAAGUCUGAUGUGAAAGCCCACGGCUCAACCGUGGAGGGUCAUUGGAAACUGGGAGACUUGAGUGCAGAAGAGGAAAGUGGAAUUCCAUGUGUAGCGGUGAAAUGCGUAGAGAUAUGGAGGAACACCAGUGGCGAAGGCGACUUUCUGGUCUGUAACUGACACUGAGGCGCGAAAGCGUGGGGGAGCAAACAGGAUUAGAUACCCUGGUAGUCCACGCCGUAACGAUGAGUGCUAAGUGUUAGAGGGUUUCCGCCCUUUAGUGCUGAAGUUAACGCAUUAAGCACUCCGCCUGGGGAGUACGGCCGCAAGGCCUGAACUCAAGGGAA